rnacentral:rRNA from 1 species
UACAGAGGGUGCGAGCGUUAAUCGGAAUUACUGGGCGUAAAGCGUGCGUAGGUGGUUGUGUAAGUUAGGUGUGAAAUUCCUGGCUUAACCUGGGAACUGCGCCUAAUACUGUAUAGCUAGAGUAUUGUAGAGGAAAGUGGAAUUUCCGGUGUAGCGGUGAAAUGCGUAGAUAUCGGAAGGAAACGCCGGUGGCGAAAGCGACGUGCUGGAUCUCUUCUGACGCUGAGGGCGCGAAAGCUAGGGGGGAGCAAAACGG